UUCACGCCGAGACGGUGGGAACGGCAGCCU
rnacentral:sRNA from 1 species